rnacentral:rRNA from 1 species
GUAACAAGGUCUCCGUUGGUGAACCAGCGGAGGGAUCAUUAUAGAGUUUUCUAAACUCCCAACCCAUGUGAACUUACCUUUUGUUGCCUCGGCAGAAGUUAUAGGUCUUCUUAUAGCUGCUGCCGGUGGACCAUUAAACUCUUGUUAUUUUAUGUAAUCUGAGCGUCUUAUUUUAAUAAGUCAAAACUUUCAACAACGGAUCUCUUGGUUCUGGCAUCGAUGAAGAACGCAGCGAAAUGCGAUAAGUAAUGUGAAUUGCAGAAUUCAGUGAAUCAUCGAAUCUUUGAACGCACAUUGCGCCCAUUAGUAUUCUAGUGGGCAUGCCUGUUCGAGCGUCAUUUCAACCCUUAAGCCUAGCUUAGUGUUGGGAAUCUACUUCUUUAUAGUUGUAGUUCCUGAAAUACAACGGCGGAUUUGUAGUAUCCUCUGAGCGUAGUAAUUUUUUUCUCGCUUUUGUUAGGUGCUAUAACUCCCAGCCGCUAAACCCCCAAUUUUUUGUGGUUGACCUCGGAUCAGGUAGGAAUACCCGCUGAACUUAAGCAUAUCAAUA